rnacentral:rRNA from 1 species
AACGUAGGAGACAAACGUUAUCCGGAGUUACUGGGCGUAAAGGGCGUGUAGGCGGUCUGUUAAGUCUGGCGUGAAAGCUCUCGGCUAAACCGGGAGAGGUCGUUGGAUACUGGCAGACUAGAGGACGGUAGAGGCGUGUGGAAUUCCUGGUGUAGCGGUGAAAUGCGCAGAUAUCAGGAGGAACACCAAUGGCGAAGGCAGCUCGCUGGAACGGUACUGACGCUGAGGCGCGAAAGCGUGGGGAGCGAACAGG